UGUGCUGCUCAGCGUCCAUGUGGGAGCCAGGAGGGACUGGUGUCCCCCAGCCUGCCACCAGCGGCAUUCACCCUUCACCAGAGACAUAGGCAGUGACAUGAAGUGCAGCAGCAGCAAAUCGGCAGGUGGCACUAGGCCAGGUGGCUCAGCUGAUGUCCCUGAGGGACAGGGUGACAUCCAGGGGGCCUGGACAGGCUUGAGGCCCACGAGGGUCACACGAAGUUCAACAAGAGCAAGUGCAGGUCCUGCACAGAGGUCAGGGCAAAGGGGGAUGAAGGGGUUGAGAGCAGCCCUGCCAUGAAGGCCCUGGGGAUUCUGGUGCAUGAAGAAUUGAGUGCUGUCCCUUGCAGCCCAGGCCAUGCUGACAUUCAGAGGCCGGGGGUCUGCAUCAGCUGGGUCAGCAAUGGCUCUGCCUCUGCCAGGAGCAGCCUCGCUCCUGCUGCUCCCCAAGCCUCGCCAAUUUGCUCUCGACUGCACCUGGCAACUUCAAGGGCAAGACCCCUCACCCAAGGAAUGACUUUUCCUUCCUGUUAAAUCUAUCUUCCAAAGAAUAUUGAGAGAAAGACCCUAAAAUUACCUUGUAGCUGUCACUCUAAGACAACAAAAAACACCAUGCGAACACGCUGCUGUUCUCAAGGGAGAAGAUGGAGACCCUGUCCCAAAAACCCCCUCAGCUUGAAUUAGCGUGAAUGCCUCUACCAGGCACGGGUGUGGAUGAGAAAUUGGCACCAGGAACAAGCAGGCUGAAGAGAGGGGACGUGUGUGCCAAGCAGUAGCAUCCGAGUGUCUGCCAAGAGCUGAUAAACUCCAGAGACUUCACAGUCCUGCUGAAUCCACAGAAACUGAUAAACUGAGCAGAGACACUCUGCCAAAUCUGUCCAAAUCCACUGGCAUCAGCCAUGGGUGUUGUACAAUGCAGGCUACAUCCAUGAAGCUGGCUAUAUGCAAAACUACAAGAUUGCCUGUCUAUCUACCUAUCUGUUCAUAUGAAUAUAUAAAACACACAUAUAAGUGACGAAGCAAAAUUUUCUGGAGGGACUUCCUGAACAUCCUGACACAUCAACACACAUCUCUGCUUUUAAGUAACCAGCUGGGGUUGGUCUUCCAACUCUUGCUCCACCCGUCAGCGCAGAUGUUUGUGAACCACAGGAGGGAAUAAAUGAAUGCAGUGUGCAAUGAGUCCCUUGCUAUUAAUAACAGCAUAGCAAAAGGCAUCUAAUAAAUGCUGUUGUGUUCUGUGUUUCCCCCAGCCUGAUCCCAGAGAAAAGGGGAUAUACAGCAACCCAUUAUUGCAAAUUUAAAUUUCUACAUUUUUGUGGAUAUCACCUUAGCAAGGGUGUCUGAUGUUGGAUCCAGACUUUCUAAAUGACAGACUUAGGUAUGUUUCCAGUGUGAUAUUUUUCAAGUCACCAUAAACGGAGGCAUGCCCAGACACAGACACAGGGACACCCCAGGCCUGGAAAACUGGUAUGGUGGAAUGGCACAAAUUAAAAAGUUGCCAGGCUCCUCACCCAAGCUUUUGGACCACAUGGUCUGUAAAGUCUAAGGAUCACAAUCUCUUCUUGAGACAUUCACAGAGUUACCAAAUCAGUAACCUCUCCCUCUUCUAGCAGAGUCACCAGGACUGACUCGUGCUCCUCCCAGCCUGCAGAAACCCCAGGGCCUCCAAACUCGACCCCAACAAUAAAAUGACUUCUGUGCCACUCAUACCAUCUUGGCCCCGGAGGCCACCAAAUCCAGAUGGCCCUUCAUGUUUUCCUGUCAUCUCCAUUCUUCAUAUGAUCAGACAAGAGUCAUCUCCAGGGUGAAUCUAUCAGGAGUCUGUCCAAAACAGUAAUUCUUUUCAAAACUGGGCCUGCUUUCAGCAUUUGCCCAAGUUUUCCCCCGUCCUGCUUCAUCCCAUCUCCCUGCUUCUACCUGCCAGAUAGAUGACCACCAUCAUUUUCCAGAAAAAAAUUUCAAUUGUGUUGUCUAUUUACAGGAAAAAAUUGACAAAAAUGUGCCACCCAAACACUUGUGCAGGUACGGGUCCUGGUGAGUGUUUUUGGUAGGACCAGCCACACCUGCUGAGGGGCUUAUCCUGCAGCGUGUACCACUUCCAAGCAUCCCACAGGCCACAGGCAGUGGAAUCUGCUGCACUUUUCUCAGGAAAAUAAAUGCCUUUGCUCUUGUGCUUCAGUUUGAGGCAGAGACCACAUCAGAUUGUUUCUGAAUGCAAGAGAUGACAAGUUAAUUGGAAGUUGUGCUUUGAUGUGAAAAGGAAGAAGUUCUUUUAGAAGGAACAGGUUUUCAAAAUCCUUCCACAUCGGCCGGGUUUGCAGGACCUCUUGUGGUUAAAGCCUUGACUUGCAGUUCCACGUUUCUGCUGUGUGGCUUUUUCUCCUACAGCUGUGCAGAAGGGAAGGAGAGGCUUUGACUCGAAAUGUCAAGCAGCAAUGUUAGUGAAAGGAAAAGCUGUGCUAACUGGCAUCUGGUGACAAAUAACAAUUUGCAAAAUAAUAAUAAUUUUAAUAAUAAUAUUUGCAAAUAUUAUUUGGGGUAACACAAUUUUUAUAAUAAUAUUUGCAAAAUAAUAAUAAGCAAAUAAUUUUUCUGCGGAUUUAAGCUUAUAAAGAAAGUUGGUUUUUUUUGGUUGUUGCUGCUGUAUCUCAAGCAUCCCAGUAAAGAACCAUGAAAUGGAAUUGACUUACAGAGUCACAGAACCACAGAUUACUCCAAGCUGGAAGGGACCCACAUGGAUCAUCGAAUUCCAGCUCCUGGCCCUGCACAGGACAGCCCCAAGAGUCACACCAAGUGCACCAUGUGUUCUAAUGCAUCAGAAAAUUGCUUUUAAAGGACAUAGACUCACCAAUUAGUAUGGAAAAAAACCCAAAACAAAACAAAAAACCAAGCCAUGGGAAGAGAUUCUGUUAUUUUAGCUGCCAUUUAGCUCUGCUGUGCAUCUGCCACUGAAACUAUCAGCUUCUCCUCUUGCCACCACAGUGCUGCAGGGCAGGAAGGAUGCUGUCCAAGGCCAGUGCCACAACUUCUCCUUCCCUGAGGAUGUUUUUGGGGGGAGGCUCCCGCUCAUGCCAUCACACCAUUGCCCAUAACAAGCACUGUGGCCCCAUGGCAGGCAGGGAACGGGGUUUGGAGGGCAGUAGCUGUGGUCCCAAAAUGGGUUCUUUGACUUGGGAUGUGAGAGGCCAAGCCACACACAGAGCUGAGGUAUUUGAUUUAUUCACAGCUCUGCACAGAAAGGGGUGCUGGGUGGCAAAGCCACAAUGCCAGCACGACAACUACCAAAACCUUUAAAUAGUUAUGCAUUUUAGUAAACAAAGGCAUUAUUGUUCACUGGCUAAAAGUUACACAGUUCUCUUGUUAAUUAGUAUUCUGUCUUCUGCUUAUUAAUGAUACUCUUGCUUCUCCAGCUAAUUAGUCCCAUACUCAGUCUUUUCCUUCUUUUGGGUCAGUGGGUUUCUUGGGUCAGUGAGUUGGUGAGAUGGUGGUCACCAUCUCCCCCUGCCAGAAUUACAUUUUAUCCAAUUGGAGCUGGUUCAGCACAGUUGCUGAGCUGUGUCUAUUCGUUUCUUCCUGAUCUUUGGGAUCCUACCAAAUGUCCUUGCGGCCCAUAAAUUCUGCAUUCUUUGUAUCCACUAUCAGCUGCACAUCCUUCUCCCCAAGCUUUGUUAACCUCCCCCAAAGCGGGAGAUCACUGAAACACCUGGAGCCCUAAACCUUCACAGAGUAACCCUACCCACAAGUAAUUUGUUUUUUUAACAUCUGGACAUCACUCAGGGAUUGCUCAUCAGCUGCUAUUUCAGGGGUUAAAUCCCCUUUCCUGUUGAUUAGGGUUGGAAGCAUGCGAAGAUCAGACACCACCCAACCUCCCUUCACAUGGAAAUUUCCAGAUAUUCCACGUUUUGCACCAAUUAGGCACAGCAGGGACG